GAUGAACGCUGGCGGCGUGCCUAAUACAUGCAAGUCGAGCGAACAGACGAGGAGCUUGCUCCUCUGACGUUAGCGGCGGACGGGUGAGUAACACGUGGAUAACCUACCUAUAAGACUGGGAUAACUUCGGGAAACCGGAGCUAAUACCGGAUAACAUGUUGAACCGCAUGGUUUAACAGUGAAAGACGGUCUUGCUGUCACUUAUAGAUGGAUCCGCGCCGCAUUAGCUAGUUGGUAAGGUAACGGCUUACCAAGGCAACGAUGCGUAGCCGACCUGAGAGGGUGAUCGGCCACACUGGAACUGAGACACGGUCCAGACUCCUACGGGAGGCAGCAGUAGGGAAUCUUCCGCAAUGGGCGAAAGCCUGACGGAGCAACGCCGCGUGAGUGAAGAAGGUCUUCGGAUCGUAAAACUCUGUUAUUAGGGAAGAACAAAUGUGUAAGUAACUAUGCAUGUCUUGACGGUACCUAAUCAGAAAGCCACGGCUAACUACGUG
rnacentral:rRNA from 1 species